UUCAUCUGUUGUUUUCAUCAUUUAUUUGAGCUAAGCUGGGUCAGGCUUGGUUAGUAUCUGGAUGGGGUGACCUCCAAAGAAUACCAAGAUGCAGUAGAAA
rnacentral:rRNA from 1 species